GGGUGAUUAGCUCAGCUGGGAGAGGCACCUCCCUUACAAGGAGGGGGUCGGCGGUUCGAUCCCGUCAUCACCCACCA
rnacentral:tRNA from 1 species